rnacentral:lncRNA from 1 species
AAAAAUCAUCGUGUCUCCAUGCCGGGAGUUUUCCUUCUCUACCUUAUUUACCUUCUACAUUUCUUAUUUUUACUUACUUUCCGCAUUUACCUUUCCUAGAAUUGCCAUGUGUAAUUUAUAGGAUUGGAACCUAGGGUGUAAACUAUUUUACGGUAUAGAUAGCAACACAUAGAAAAACCUAGUGCACAUCUAGAUAGAAAUUGGAAUAUGUUUUUAUAUGUGCUUAGAGCCUUAGUUUUUA